rnacentral:rRNA from 1 species
CCUACGGGUGGCAGCAGUGGGGAAUAUUGCACAAUGGGGGAAACCCUGAUGCAGCGACGCCGCGUGAGUGAAGAAGUAUUUCGGUACGUAAAGCUCUAUCAGCAGGGAAGAAAAUGACGGUACCUGACUAAGAAGCCCCGGCUAACUACGUGCCAGCAGCCGCGGUAAUACGUAGGGGGCAAGCGUUAUCCGGAUUUACUGGGUGUAAAGGGAGCGUAGACGGCAGCGCAAGUCUGGAGUGAAAUCCCAUGGCUUAACCAUGGAACUGCCGUGGAAACUGUGCAGCUAGAGUGCAGGAGAGGUAAGCGGAAUUCCUAGUGUAGCGGUGAAAUGCGUAGAUAUUAGGAGGAACACCAGUGGCGAAGGCGGCUUACUGGACUGUAACUGACGUUGAGGCUCGAAAGCGUGGGGAGCAAACAGGAUUAGAUACCCGAGUAGUC